GCCCCAGAGGCGGCGAUGCACCAUUCAAAUUUCUGCCCUAUCAACUUUCGAUGGUAGGAUCGGGGCCUACCAUGGUCGUAACGGGUAACGGGGAAUUAGGGUUUGAUUCCGGAGAGGGAGCUCGAGAAACGGCUACCACUUCCAAGGAAGGCAGCAGGCGCGCAAAUUACCCACUGGCGACACGCCGAGGUAGUGACAACAAAUAAGUAGGUAGGUCCCAAUAGGGAUUUACCAUACGAGUGAGUACAAUUUAAACCCCAUAACGAAAGCCACUGGAGGGCAAGUCUGGUGCCAGCAGCCGCGGUAAUUCCAGCUCCAGUAGCGUAUAUUAAAGCUGUUGCGGUUAAAAAGCUCGUAGUCGGAACUGAAGACUUUUAGAAGACUGGUCCAUGCAUAGUCAUGCGUACUGGUCCUCGAGUCUUUAUAAGGUUCUGGUGGCCUGUUCCUGCUCUUUACUGAGUGGGGAUGGAAAGGCAAGGCAGGGUUUCGGCUUUGGUUUGCUGAAGGCACCAGAUCGAUUACUUUGAGAAAAUUAGAGUGUUCAAAGCAGGCGGUCACGCCUUGAAUACAUUAGCAUGGGAUAAUGCCAUGGGACUCUGGGCCCAUUUCGUUGGUUUCUGGGAAUGGAGUCAGGAUCAACAGGGACAGUUGGGGUGAUUCAUAUUUUGCCGACAGGGGUGAAAUCCUAUGACCGGCGAAAGAUGAACUAGUGCGAAAGCAUUUCAUAAGGAUGUUUUCAUUGAUCAAGAACGAAAGUUGAGGGAUCGAAGGCGAUCAGAUACCGCCCUAGUCUCAACCAUAAACCAUGCCGACCAGGGAUCGGGAGACGUUCAAACAUUACGACUCCCCCGGCACCUUGUGAGAAAUCACAAGUCUUUGGGCUUCGGGGGGAGUAUGGUCGCAAGGCUGAAACUUAAAGGAAUUGACGGAACGACACCACCAGGAGUGGAGCCUGCGGCUUAAUUCGACCCAACACGGGAAAACUCACCAGGUACAGACAGCGGAAGGAUGUACAGACUUGCAGAUCUUUAUAGAUUCGCUGGGUGGUGGUGCAUGGCCGUUCUUGGCUCGUGCGUUGACUUGUCUGGUUAAUUCCGUUAACGAGCGAGACCUCAGCCUGCUAAAUAGUCAGUGGACUCCCUUUUUGAGCCUUUGUGCGACAAAUGGGAGUGGCAAUGUUGACUUCUUAGAGGGACCAUGCGUUUCUAGCGCAGGGAAGUUUGAGGCAAUAACAGGUCUGUGAUGCCCUUCGAUGUCCUGGGCUGCACGCGCGCUACACUGAUGAACUCAACGAGUCUAUAGCUUGGCCGAAGGGUCUGGCUAAUCUCCUCAAAGUUCAUCGUGAUGGGGAUAGAUCAUUGCAAUUAUUGAUCUUCAACGAGGAAUUCCUAGUAGGUGCGAGUCAUCAGCUCGCGCCGAUUACGUCCCUGUCGUUUGUACACACCGCCCGUCGCUCCUACCGAUUGGGUGAUCAGGUGAACACCUCGGACGGUCAUGGCAUUGCUGAUGGGGGAAACUCUGUUGACGGCCUCGACCGAAAGUCGUGUAAACCUUAUUAUCUAGAGGAAGGAGAAGUCGUAACAAGGUU
rnacentral:rRNA from 1 species